rnacentral:rRNA from 1 species
AGGGUUUGAUCAUGGCUCAGAACGUACGCUGGCGGCACGCCUAACACAUGCAAGUCGAACGCAGUAGCAAUACUGAGUGGCAAACGGGUGAGUAUAAUGUGGGAAUCUGCCUUUUGGUUUGGAAUAACACGGGGAAACUUGUGCUAAUACCGAAUAAGCCCUUACGGGGAAAGUUUUAACGCCAAAAGAUGAGCCCGCACUUGAUUAGCUAGUUGGUAAGGUAAAAGCUUACCAAGGCAACGAUCAAUAGCUGUUCUUAGAGGAAGACCAGCCACAUUGGGACUGAGACACGGCCCAGACUCCUACGGGAGGCAGCAGUGGGGAAUCUUGCACAAUGGGGGAAACCCUGAUGCAGCGAUGCCGCGUGAGUGAAGAAGGCCCUUGGGUUGUAAAACUCUUUCGUCGGGGAAGAAAAUGACUGUACCCGAAUAAGGAGGUCCGGCUAACUUCGUGCCAGCAGCCGCGGUAAUUC